CCUACGCGAGGCAGCAGUGGGGAAUAUUGGGCAAUGGGCGGAACCCUGAUCCAGCGACGCCGCGUGAGUGAAGAAGUAUUUCGGUAUGUAAACCUCUAUCAUCAGGGAAGAAAGAAAUGACGGUACCUCACUAAUAAGCCCCGGCUAACUACGUGCCAGCAGCCGCGGUAAUACGUAGGGGGCAAGCGUUAUCCGGAUUUACUGGGUGUAAAGGGAGCGUAGACGGCAAAGCAAGUCUGAAGUGAAAGCCGGGGGCCCAACCCCCGGACUGCUUUGGAAACUGUAUGGCUGGAGUGCAGGAGAGGUAAUUGGAAUUCCGAGUGUAGCGGGGAAAUGCGUAGAUAUAAGGAGGAACACCAGUGGCGAAGGCGGCUUACUGGACUGUAACUGACGCUGAGGCUCGAAAGCGUGGGGAGCAAACAGGAUUAGAUACCCGAGUAGUC
rnacentral:rRNA from 1 species